rnacentral:tRNA from 1 species
GGUUGUGGCUCAGUGAUAGAGCGCUUGCCUAGCAUGUUCCAGGCCCUGGGUUCAAUCCUCAGCACCA